rnacentral:rRNA from 1 species
UACGUAGGGUGCAAGCGUUAAUCGGAAUUACUGGGCGUAAAGCGUGCGCAGGCGGUCUGUUAAGACCGAUGUGAAAUCCCCGGGCUCAACCUGGGAACUGCAUUUGUGACUGCAUGGCUGGAGUGCGGCAGAGGGGGAUGGAAUUCCGCGUGUAGCAGUGAAAUGCGUAGAUAUGCGGAGGAACACCGAUGGCGAAGGCAAUCCCCUGGGCCUGCACUGACGCUCAUGCACGAAAGCGUGGGGAGCAAACAGG